rnacentral:rRNA from 1 species
UACGUAGGGGGCAAGCGUUGUCCGGAAUCACUGGGCGUAAAGCGCACGUAGGCGGCUUUCUAAGUCAGGGGUGAAAUCCUGGAGCUCAACUCCAGAACUGCCUUUGAUACUGGAGAGCUUGAGUCCGGAAGAGGUGAGUGGAACUCCGAGUGUAGAGGUGAAAUUCGUAGAUAUUCGGAAGAACACCAGUGGCGAAGGCGGCUCACUGGUCCGGUACUGACGCUGAGGUGCGAAAGCGUGGGGAGCAAACAGG